GAUGAACGCUGGCGGCGUGCCUAAUACAUGCAAGUCGAGCGAACAGACGAGGAGCUUGCUCCUUUGACGUUAGCGGCGGGCGGGUGAGUAACACGUGGGUAACCUACCUAUAAGACUGGGAUAACUUCGGGAAACCGGAGCUAAUACCGGAUAAUAUUUCGAACCGCAUGGUUCGAUAGUGAAAGAUGGCUUUGCUAUCACUUAUAGAUGGACCUGCGCCGUAUUAGCUAGUUGGUAAGGUAACGGCUUACCAAGGCAACGAUACGUAGCCGACCUGAGAGGGUGAUCGGCCACACUGGAACUGAGACACGGUCCAGACUCCUACGGGAGGCAGCAGUAGGGAAUCUUCCGCAAUGGGCGAAAGCCUGACGGAGCAACGCCGCGUGAGUGAUGAAGGUCUUCGGAUCGUAAAACUCUGUUAUUAGGGAAGAACAAACGUGUAUGUAACUGUGCACGUCUUGACGGUACCUAAUCAGAAAGCCACGGCUAACUACGUG
rnacentral:rRNA from 1 species